rnacentral:tRNA from 1 species
GGUUGGCCACAAAAAACGGCCUGACUACCUUGACACGGUAGAGGUCACAGGUUCGAAUCCAGUAUCGCCCACCA